CACUUUUUAUAAGUAACGGUUUGAUGUAAAAGAUUUGCAAGCGCAAAACUGAACUUUUUAAAUUGGUGUGCCUAUACUAAAUUGGUGCGACUAUACUCUAUUUCAGAAGUGUGUAGAGCAAUAAAACCUCAUUAGGUAUGCAAAAGUGGUACCUGGUGAUCCACCAAUAUUUUAUUCUUUUCGUUGAUUGCAGGUAGUGCCACCCGGUUUUGGGUCAAUUUAUGAGUUUUGCCCAUUGUUACCCACUAUUGAAAACGGUUCGCCAAAGGCGUGCAACUGGGACUUGUUUUUUACCUUAUAAUUAAUGUACUUAAAUGCUAUUUUAUUUUAGAAAGUUACUUUUGUUUAAAUGAAAUAAUAUAUUUUUUUCACAAAUUUAUUGAACAUAAUAUGUAGAGUAAAACAGUUGAAAAUGUCACUUUUGGAUCUGGCACUUUUUGAACAGUGUAUAACAAUUUUAAAUUAUAAUAGAUUGUAGUCUUCUUCGUCAUCUGACGAACUGUCAUCACCUCUUGACAUUAUAAUUAAAUGUCUGAUCUGUGAGGUUGUCAAGAUCCCACAUUUUGUCCUCUUGCUUAAUUACAUGCUGGACUGCUUUUCGCCAAUUCUCUGGUGUCGCUUCCGUAAUGGCUUGAUCAAACAGUAGCUUAACAUCUUUCAUUUUAAAAGUCGUGUUUUGUCUUGCUACAAAUCCUUUUACCUGCGCCCAUAUCAGUUCUAUAGGAUUUAGUUCGCAAUGAUAUGGCGGUAAGCGCAGUACAGUUAUAUUAUAUUUUUCGGCUAUAUCUUCCACGGCGUAUUUCAUGAAACGAGUUUUGUGUAAGUUUGCUAUUGCCAGCAGUUCUUUUUUUAUCAAAUUUGCUUCAAACGCAAUACCUUUUGCAGUCAGCCAAUCGAUAAUUUCUUGCUUUCUCCAACUUGAAGUUGGCGUCUUCUCUAUUCGCCGUGAAUGAUAGCUUGCGUUAUCCAUAACCACCACCGAAUUAGCCAGAAGAAAUUUUAUCAUUUCACCAAAAUAGUCCUCGAAAACGUCUGAGUUCAUGUCUUCAUAGUAAUAUCCUGUGCGAGUCGACUCAAAGGUUAGCAGACCUUCUUUUAAAAAUCCCUCUUCGCUUCCAAUAUGUGUGAUUAUAAGUCUUUUUCCUUUUCCCGAAGGUACUUUAAUACCCGUAGACAGGCCUUCUAUGAAAGCUUGGCGAGUACUGGUUAUAUUUUUGUCUUGCCACAUUUUUUGGACUAUAUAACCUUCGUUAAUCCACGUCUCAUCAAGAUAAAAAACUUUCUUUUGCUCCCUGCGGAACUGCUUGAUACUUCUCAAGUAUUGUCGUCUCCAACAAACAAUUUCGUCGCUCUCCAGUAAAAGUGCUUUGCGGUUAUGCUUUUCCCAGGCAAAAUCCAUAUUUUUUAAAGUUUUCCAUAAAAGUUUUCUACUUAUCAACGGAAUACUGUCAUCUCGGCCAAGCUCCAUUAAAAUUUUGUCUAGGGUGGGUAUUUCCUUUUUAAAAUAAAAAGAGUGAACUUUUCUUCGAAUUAUACAUUUAGCAUUUUCAUCAAGGACUUUUGUAGGUCGUCCUGGCUUUUGCUUGGGAGAUUCCACUUGACCUGCUACUUUUCUUUCCCGCAACAAUUUGAAAAUGGUGGACUUUCCAAUUCCACUCAUUCGAGAACAUUUUUCAACAAUUUCUUGCACAGUAAAACUAGGGUAAUCGUGUUGGACUGAAUACCUCCAUUUUUUAAAUAUUGGGAUAAUAAUAUUGUGAUUACACUACAGCGUAGCAGUGACUACUAACGUUUAAAAUAUGAUUUAAAAGUAUUUAUAGUCUGUAUAUAUUACCUGACCCCAUUUUUGCAUGUUACAAAGCGUUAAAAGAUAGGUACCUAUACAAAAGGAUUAAAAGUAUUUAUUUAGUAUUUAAUCUCUUUCAAAAUAAAGGCAUUUAAUCCGUGAAAAUUAAAUUCAUAAAUAUUAUAAGUACCUGCGCCUAUGAACUACCACGAAAUGUAGCCAAACAGAACGGAAUUCCCCAGUUUAUUGCUCUAUACACUUCUGAAAUAGAGUAUAGAUGUCGAUAAGAAUAAUUAUAAUAAUAACUUGUAUUUGUAUCAGUAAAUAUUUUACUGAUUAUAUUAUACUAUUUAAACAUAGAUUUAGUGAUUCAUAAUUAUAAUAGAGAAUACAGUCCUUAUACAAAAAGGACCUGGAAAGCAAUUUUAAAAUUGUUCUAAUUCCAGCACCCACCUAUAUAUAAUACAGGGUGAUUGAUGGUUGAUGGUACACGGAAACGGAACGGAAAACGGAAUUUUUUUGAAAAUUUGGCAUCAUGGAUUUUAGCUGGUGAUCUAACGAUUAAAAAUAUUUUUAGCGAUACAGCGUUGCCGCUUAUAUCAAAAAAUAGUAGCAACUUUGUUAUUUUAAAUGGAAUACCCUGUAUAUUAUUUUAUUUUCCGAUCCGCUAUCACUUUAUGAUUGUUUUUGUAUAAGUUGUUGCUAUAACUAUCUUUAGUGGUUUUCGAGAAAUUAUUUUCUUUAUUUUUUGACCAAAACAUAGCUCCAAAUAAAUUUUUAUUACUGCGGCACUGAAACGCGCAGAAAAUUGAAAUUAUAAGCGUAAUUUACGAAGGUAUUGUACACUCACCGGCACAAAAUUCCGCCACCCUGAAAUAUUGGCCAAGUUUGAUGUUUCAUAAAUUUUUUAUUUUUUAUCAGAUUCUCACGAUUUUGCCAUCAGUUUUUAGAUACAUUUGUUGUGAUUUUUUAAAAUCAUUUUGUAAAGUAGCAUUUUUCGAUUAGGCUAUAUUGGCUACAGGAGUAAAACAAACUGUUGUUUUUUUCUCGUAAUUUCAAAAGACCCUGUAGGAAAAUUAAGGUGGAUAAUUCUGUUUACAUACUGUUCCUUGUAAUCUUUGAUGUAUUUUAAACAUUUCAAUUUUUGAUUCAUUCCAUUAUCUUAUUUCUGCUGCGAGCUGCAAAUUUUUUAUUAAAACGCUGAUUUGAAGCGUAUUUUUAUUAGACGAAACAAACACUAGGUAUAUCAUAAAGUUAAUUUAAAAAAAAACAAUUUUAAUAGCGUGUAUUUCCUCCUCUCGCAGCAAUAACAGUUUGCAGUCUUUGCGGCAUCGAAUGAAUAAGGUUCCUUAUUCUUUCUUGAGGAAUAGCCUCAUAUUCUUCGAUCAGCGCUAGUCGUAAGUCUUACAAGAUUUGUGGUUGUACAAGACGACGACGAACGGCCCGUUUAAGUUGAUCCCAAAGAUGUUCUAUUGGGUUGAGAUCCGGGCUACAUGCGGGCCAUUCCAAUCUUGGGAGUUCAACUUCAUCCAGAUAUUCGCUCACUACAUGUGCAACGUGAGGUCUAGCAUUAUCAUGCAUUAAUGUAAAUUGGUUCCCAAUGAAUGGAGCAAAUGGGACAACAACUUCUUGAAGGAUUUCCUCAAUGUAACGGUGGGCGGUUAGAGCUUCAUUUUCAAUAAAUACAAGAUUGGUGCGUGCUUCGGUAGAAAUACCCGUCCAAAUCAUGACUGAACCGCCACGAUAUUAGAUUUGUUCUAAAAUGGUGCAGUCAGCAUAUCUUUCAUUUCUACGUCUGUAUAUCCUCUCACGACCAUUCGGCGUCCUUAAACAAACCCUGGAUUCAUCUGUGAAUAGUAUAUUUGCCCACUGUUCUAGAGUCCACUCAAAAUGCGAUCUUGCAAACCUCAGUCGGUGUUGUCGAUGCCGAGGAAGUAAUUGUGGACAUCUUGCUGGCCUUCGUGAAUAAAGUCCAGCUUCUGCUAAUCUUCUACGUAUCGUUCUUUCACUUAUACUUACUCCAUGAAGUAUUCGCAAAUAAAAAAUUUAUAAAACAUCAAACUUGGCCAAUAUUCAUGGUGGCGGAAUUUUGUGCCGGCGAGUAUACAUUAGUUUUCAUUAUAAAAAUUUGUUCUACGUUAUAUAGGAUUGCUCAAAAUUAGUGAUUUUACCGCUAGAUACAAUAAUUGUAAAAAAUGAUUUUUUUUUCAUUUUUUUUAAAUGGAACACCCUGUAUAUUAUAACAUAUUCUAAAACAAAAUUAAAAUCUAGUUAAAAAAAGUUCCUAUAUCUAAGUAGUUCGGUUUCUGAAAUAAAAGCAAGCUUCUGUAAAAAACGGAAUAUUUUGAGAUAUUGCCCGAUUGAACUAGUUCCAGUAAUAUCGAAGAAUAUGGAGAAAGCAGUCAUCCAACAACUGUUAAAAUAUCUGGAAUCAUCUGGACUAAUCAGCGAUCAUCAAUACGGCUUCCGAAAGCUUAGAUCCACCGGCGAUCUUCUGGCUUACGUCACACACUUGUGGACGGAGGCCAUGGAGAAGCACGGCGAGUCCCGCUCAGUCGCUCUUGACAUUUCCAAGGCAUUUGACAAAGUGUGGCAUGAGGGACUACUAACCAAGCUCUCCGCAAUCGGCAUACAAAACUCAUUAUUGAAUUGGAUCAAAAGUUUUCUUGAACAACGAACAAUCCAAGUAGCCGUCGAUGGACACCUCUCCGACAAAUUUAACAUUAACGCUAGAGUCCCUCAAGGAUGCAUUCUAUCCCCCACCCUUUUCUUGGUAUAUAUCAACGAUUUGCUAGAAACCACUGUCAAUCCAAUCUAGAGCUUUGCGGACGAUAGCACACUUAUUUCCACAUUUAAAUCCGCCAAACCAACGAUAGCCGCAAGUUCUCAGAAUCUUAGGCAGCAACAAGUAGCUUCAACCAACAACGAUAUUAGAGCAAUCUCUAAUUGGAGUGGGGCGAUAACAAUUUGGUCAAUUUUAACGCUAAAAAAACGCAGGCUGCAGUAUUUACGAUGAACACUAACCUUGGUGGCCCGGAGCUGGUUAUGGCAGGGAAAACAUUGCCAAUGAAAUCAUCUUUACAUCUUCUAGGAGUCGAGGUCACCAACAGUGUGUCCUGGCAUGACCACGUUGCCGAGGUCGCCAGGGCGGCUUCCAAAAAACUCGGAGUGCUUAAAUUAUAAGGCUCAAAUACGCUUAUAAGGCUCAAAUAUGCCCUUCCCUCGAGUAUUGCUCGCAUGUCUGGAGCUCUGCACCCAAGCAUAGUUUAAACCUGCUGGAUUCUAUACAGAAGAGAGCUAUUCGUCUUAUCGACAAACCAGAACUGACAAAGAGUCUGGAUAGUCUGGAGCACAGGAGAAAGGUGGCUGAUCUCUGUUUAUUCUACCGUUAUUAUCACGGUAAGUGCUUCUCUGAGCUGGCAUGCCUGAUUCCACUCAGGGCUGUUUCGACAAGAAGGACGCGUCUAGCAGUUGCGGCUCAUCAACAUCGAGUUCACCUGCCUACCCCAAGGACGUCGCUGUAUCGGGACUCAUUCAUCUGGAAAACAUCUUCUUUGUGGAACGGGCUUCCACCUCACAUAUUUCCCGACGCAUACAACCUACAGAGAUUUAAGAUAUAUGCCCACACAUAUCUUCGCGCAAGCACCACUCCAAGAGUGACAUAGGACUUUCCUCUUGUGCUUGUGUUUACCAUAAAAAAAAAUACCACAAUUUUAAAACUAUUUUUUUUCAAUUCAAUUUCCUCAGAACUAAGUAUUUUGAGUUACGUUACGUAGAUAUGUUCAUGGUGCUGGAUUAUUUUAAUAAAAAUAAAGACUUUAUAAGUUCAGAAAUGCGUGGAAUAAAAUUGAUAAGGUAAGUAGUCAAGUUAUAGGUAUAAUAUACCACUAUAGUAAUAGGUAAAAAUAAUAGAGUAAAGAGUGAUAGGUACCGGGCGUCUCAUUUUAAGUAAGAUAACAAAACAAGUAGACGCUUCGCGUCUACUUUGGUCCGUGGGGACCAGUAGAAAUUUUUAAAAUUUUUGUCAGUACUACAAAAAAAAAUCUCCACAAUUAUCCAAGGAGUGCCCUAAACACGCAGUGGGGAAGAGACCUGCCGUAUCCUCAUAAGGCUCUGAGUUCAAAUCUUAGCCUCGGCAUGGUGCUCUACCCAACUUUUUCUUUUUUUAGUACUUCGAAAAAAUUAACAUCUAUAGUAAAUCCAAAAAUCUCAUCCAUUAUUCUCUAAGAGACCAACAUACAAAAUUGACGAAAAACAAAGAAAAACACAAAGUCACGGUCUCACAACAUGUAAUUAAACGGGCUACACGUGUUUCGCUCUAGUUAGAGCAUCAUCAGGCCUUUAGAAGCCAUCCACACACUUAUGCUGUAACUGAUGAUGCUCUAACUAGAGCGAAACACGUGUAGCCCGUUUAAUUACAUGUUGUGAGACCGUAACUAUGUGUUUUUCUUUGUUUCUCGUCAAUCUAUAGUAAAUACAGAGAGAAAAGGGAAGGUCUUAUUAUAUAUUAUAAUCAGAAAUAAAUUUCAUGGACAUAUUACUUACUUAUUUCUGGGUAUCAUGCUUCAGAGAACCAUGAUGUAUUACAAUACGCUCCGCUCUUUAAUUUUAGUUUAUUUAUAUUCUCAAAACUUGCAUAUAUCAAAAUUAUGUCAGGGUUCUAAAAUGAAUCGGUAAUAAAAUCGUAAACCAGAUCAACAUUGGAAAUAAUUUAAAAAAUUUGCUUUGGUCCGAUUGAAAAAAGUACUAUACUACCAAAUAGUUACAUCUAUUCUGUAGCAAUAAAAGUUAUAAAAUUCUGUCUAUUAUUAAUUUUAAUAUUAUAAAGUGUAUCGUUUAACUCUUAGCCAUUAUUUAUAAUUUAAUUGUUAAUUAUGCCUAAAAAAACGAAUUAACAACUUUGGUAUUGUUUGGAAGGUAAACAGCUUAAUUCCUUUAUGUAAAGCCACCUUAACAUGUUUUUGCAUAAUUCUGACUCACGUUGGUUGCUAUCGGGCUUAAGCCAUAAAAAUCGAAGAAAAAAAGAAGAAGACGAAGAGACUUUCACUUGUCAUUUCAAUGUCACUUUCCGGCCCACAAGCAUAAACGCCACCGGUAACGGGAGUUCCAAAAAUCGAAACAAAUGUUGGAAGAUAUUUUUAAGUUUCCACAUCUUUCUUACUUUUCUAUAUGAAAAUAAAAUGUAAGUAUCACAAUUACACACAUACAAGUUUUUUUUUUAAUUCAGUUUCAUAAUUACCAAUUUUUAGUGAAUAAUCCUGAAAUUUAUGAAAAUACAUACAUUUUAAGGUUAUGUCAUAAUGUUUUGAUUGUUAUAUUUGAUUUUGUUUUUGUUAUUUUAGUGGACUACACCAACAAAGGUUAUGUGUUUUGCACCAGAUUGAAAGCAUCAUAGCGAAAAACGGACCUGUCAUAUCUUUAAAUUUUCAAAAGAGCCCCUGGAAAAAGAAAAAUGAAUAUCUUUGCCAAGGAAUAGGUACUAAGGCAAAUGGAUAAAAAACCUUCAGUCCAUGCAUUGGUAUGUAAUUGUUGACAAAAAUACAAUGAAUGGCCUCACUACUUUUCCACAUGCAAAGAGGUUAACCAAGGAGAAAUUAAAGAAAUUGUCAAAAACCUAGGUAAAUACAGAAUUGCUUAGUACAAACAUAUCUAUACCCAGUACAAGUUCGUCCACUUCUUUGAAGCAUGGUACUUCAAACAGAAACACUGUCAACAAUUUUGUAGAAGGUGAGCCGGUGUCAAAUUCCAGUAAGGGACAUGAUUUUAAUUUUGCACCAACAGCAGAGCUAAAAUUCAUUUUGCCGCAAAAAACUGGAGGAUGUGAAAGAAAAAAGUGCAGAAGUUAAAUUAAGUUUUUCAUAUGAGCACAUAAAAAAUAAUCAUGACAAAGUUCAGUUGUAUACAGGUUUGACAUGUAAUAAAUAUGUUUGUAAUCUUAUUAAGUUAAUUAGUUUUAUAUAUUAUUUAAAUAAUAAUUGUAUACUUCACAUAGAAUAUGCAGAAAUUAUAUGUACAUAUAUAAAUUUUUUUAUUAAGAUAAGGACAACAUGUAUUAAAGCAUAACACAUAAUAUAAACACACACGUAAUAUCUUCAUUAAAAAUUAUGAUUGUAUGUUAUGUAGCAUUAGAGCCUAAAAACAUUAAGGAGAAUAAAGGUCGUUAUUGGCAAAUGACAAUAUUAUUUUCUCUAUUUCCUACAUUUUUGGUGAAGGGAAUAGGCUCUGCCCUAAAAAGCCAGGUUAAACCAAGAGCAAAAAAGUUUAGGUCUCAUGAGUGUAAGUAAAGUAAACCUUUCUAUUAAAAAGGCCAUCAAAGAUAAAAAAAAAUAUACUAAAAAUAUUAAUGUUAAUUCUUUAGCGACAUCUAGGGUGGAUAUGCUGAAUCAACUCAUCAAUUAAUUCACUGUCGUACUGAUGAAAGUUAUGGCGUAUUCACCAAAGUAUGCAGAUAAUCGCUGAAAAAUAAUUUUAUUUGCGUUUUCAAAUUAUGCUUAAAAUUCAAAACUUCUUUUUUUACCUUAAAGGCCAUGCAAAACUUAGUAGAAAAGUUUAUUAAGUAAAUUUUCCACGAUUUAUACGUGCCACAAGAUAAAGGGAAAAGAGGGUCCCAUUUAUUAGGGUAUUGGGAUAAGACAACUAGGUUUUAUGUCGAUUUUUUUUAUUUUCCAUUUUUAUUUUGAAAAGCAAUUGUAAUAAAAUAUAAAAAGAAUUAACAGGAAAAGAAUCGGUAAUAAAAGAAACUAUUAACGAAUUGAAUCGAAGCUAUAGAAGCCGAGAUAUUAGUAAAAAUGUGGGAAAAACAAAAGAAAACUGGUUUUUUCCCACGGUACAAUUUUUUUUUUUUUAAAUGAUUAUUGACAAAUUUUAAAGUAA